rnacentral:rRNA from 1 species
AAGUCUGAAUAGGGCGAUAAGUCAGUGAUUGUAGACCCGAAACCGGGUGACCUAUCCAUGUCCAGGCUGAAGUUUCCGUAAAAGGAAAUGGAGGGCCGAAGCCACAUCCGUUGAAAAGGGUGGGCAUGAGGUGUGGAUAGCGGAGAAAUUCCAAUCGAACCCGGAGAUAGCUGGUUCUCCUCGAAAUAGCUUUAGGGCUAGCCUCGUAUUAGACUACUGGAGGUAGAGCACUGAAUUCUUAAGGGGGCGUCAAAGCUUACCAAGAGAUAUCAAACUCCGAAUGCCAGAUAGCCGAUGUACGGGAGUCAGACUAUACGAGAUAAGUUGGAUAGUCAAAAGGGAAACAGCCCAGACCUACAGCUAAGGUCCCAAAGUGUGUGUUAAGUGGUAAAGGAUGUGGGAUUUCAUAGACAACUAGGAUGUUGGCUCAGAAGCAGCCAUACAUUCAAAGAGUGCGUAACAGCUCACUAGUCGAGAGGUCCUGCGCCGAAAAUGUCCGGGGCUAAAACACAACACCGAAGCUUAGGAUUCAUGAAUUUCAUGAGUGGUAGAGGAGCAUUCUUGCAACCGACGAAGCUGUACUGUAAAGAGCAGUGGAGGAACAAGAAGAGAGAAUGCCGGAAUGAGUAGCGAGAUGAAGGUGAGAAUCCUUCAGGCCGAAUAUCUAAGGUUUCCAGAGUAAAGCUGAUCUGCUCUGGGUAAGUCGGGGCCUAAGGCGAGGUCGAAAGACGUAGUCGAUGGAUAACAGGUUGAGAUUCCUGUACCGCAAUAAAUCAGAACUGUGGGGACGCAUGGACAAAGCUUAAGCCAGGAAUGGAAAGACUGGUGCAAGCGUAGGAGGUGUGCAGUUGGCAAAUCCGCUGCAUAAGCCAAUGACGUGAUGCGGAGCGAACUAAAGUAGUGAAGUAAGUAGAGUCUGUGCCGAGAAAAGCCGCUAUUGUAUUUAUUGUGCCCGUACCGUAAACCGACACAGGUGGAUGAGGAGAGAAUCCUAAGGCCGACGGAAGAAGCAUUGUUAAGGAAUUCGGCAAAAUGACCCCGUAACUUCGGGAGAAGGGGUGCCUG